AUGUGCCCCCUUUGUAGAGAUCAUGGCCCUGGAGAGAAGGUUCAAAUUGUCAUGAGCCAAACAACUGAUUAUAGCACCUUCCUGCCACCCAGAAUGUCCUGACUUCUAUACGGGAAGCAUCUGGGCCACCACCAUGGGGUGUAAAUCAUGAUCACCAUCAGUAAACCGGAACAUCACUGAAUUCCAAGAUCAAAAGAAACCUUAAAGAAAUGAAUGAGGUAACAUGUAGCCUGUUUUCUACUACUGAGCAAUUUACAUCCAUGAUGAAGCCAACACUGAGUGUUAUCAGAAAAGAGACAAAAAGAACUUGGAUCCUUGAUCACAUCACUGAACUGGAUCAGCCAGUCCUGACACAUGCUUUCAAGCAUGUAAGCCACUAAAUGUGGUUCCUCUUGAAGCUAGUUUCAUCUGGGUUUCCUGUUACUCACUUAUAAAAGCAUCUUAAGUUUUUAACUUGCCUAAACCUUUAUUAAAACGAAACAAUAGAAUGUCUAUGUCCCCUCCCCCCCAGUCAAUCUAAUAAUAUUAAGAAGGGAAAGCAA